rnacentral:rRNA from 1 species
UUUGACCUCAAAUCAGGUAGGACUACCCGCUGAACUUAAGCAUAUCAAUAAGCGGAGGAAAAGAAACUAACAAGGAUUCCCCUAGUAACUGCGAGUGAAGCGGGAAAAGCU